UUCAAAGAGGUAAGACUGUAACUAAUAAUUACUUCUAUUGAGGAUGAGUCUACUCGUCCUUGUCUUAAUUAUUUGAUUAUUUCUGAAUAAUGCCUUGAAAUUGUUAAACUUUUUCUCAAAGCUCAAGUGACAUCCUCAGGUCUUACAACUUAUUAUGGAACAUGUUGACUUUAAUUUUAAAACAACAGUUGAAAUGUAAUCAAUUAAUUGGCUAAUCUUUGCAGCUCUACAAAGAGGCGUCAUCUUGAACACCCAGAUGACACUGAUGAAAUUGAUUCAAACGACUCAACAGUGAUUCUGGAUCUCUCCACGAAGGGUAGUAGCAGUUCAGACCCCAGCAAUAAAGAAAGAAGUGAUUCUCUUCUUAGGAUUGAGACAAUUAUACAGUAUGUGCCAGGUGCCAGUCAACAGUGUAUUGGCCUAUAUGCUCUGCACCAAAACAAAAUGAAGGCUGAGUCUAGUGGAAACCUUUUUAUGACCCUCCAUAAGUAACAUUCAGCUGCUUCACUACUUAAUAUUUUGAUCCAAAUAAUACAUUUCAUUGUUGAAUUUGGUUCCAGAAGAGUGAACUUAUUCUUAAAUUCUAUUAGUCUGACAGCAUGAUGUUAUUUGUUAUGUUAUUUGAUGAUGUUAUUUGUUUUAGGAGAGAAAAACCCCCAAUUGCUGCGUGAAGAAGUGACCCGUCUUCCCUCCAGUCCUAAAUCUAACAAGCCUGCUGAUAGUGCCAGUCCAGAUGCGGCCAGUCAAGCAACCUUGGCCAAGCACUACAAGGCCCUACAGGCUUUGUUUGAAAGAAAAAAUCCAAACUACCAGGAUGUUUCUCAUCUUCUGGAUUUGGAAUUUGCAGACAGAAGAUUAUUCAUUGACUCGGAUACCAUUCGUGAGGAGGACAGACCUGAAAAGAUUCUCGAAGCUUAUCCCUGGUUUAAGGACAUUGGACAUGUGAUGGACAAGCUUCGAUGCAUUUUGGACAUGAGAAACUAAAACUUCAUCAGUGAAUUAAAGGAAGGAUGGCAUGACUUCUGCCAGAAGGUGCAGUUUUUUGGUGUGUCCAAAAACAUGCUGAAACCACCAAUGGGAAUAGACAAAGUGCAACAGGCUGUCGAAAUUCUGCGUGUGCUGCCAUCACUGUUCCCCUCCAUGUCUGGUCUGCUGAAGAAAGUCAGAGAUCUAAGUCAGGCUCUGGUGCAUGUCCUUGAGGAAAAAGAAGACCCCAAUUCCUACUUGAGGAAGCGCCCUCUCACAUGCCCGGUCCUGAUUGCUAGUUCGUCCAACUGCCUUUUAACGGUAGGAAAUGUUUCGAUAACUACCUUUCCCAAGGACAAGGUCACCGAGGGUGCUUUAUACCUGAUGGCAUACUAUUACACCCUACAUCUUACAUACCCAAAGUGUGUCGCAACUCUGAUGUCACUCAUACAAACAGAGGUCCUACUGGACAACAUUCAUGAGAGUGAUCUCACAUCAUCGUACAAAAAAAGCAUGGCUGAGUGGAAGGCUUUUAUUGGCCAGUAGGCUUGUGGUAUGCAAAAUAGCACCCACUUCUUCCCCGAGGCUGCU